UACGUAGGGGGCUAGCGUUGUCCGGAAUCAUUGGGCGUAAAGCGCGUGUAGGCGGUCCGGUAAGUCCGCUGUGAAAGUCGGGGGCUCAACCCUCGAAUGCCGGUGGAUACUGUCGGGCUAGAGUGCGGAAGAGGCGAGUGGAAUUCCUGGUGUAGCGGUGAAAUGCGCAGAUAUCAGGAGGAACACCAAUUGCGAAGGCAGCUCGCUGGGACGUUACUGACGCUGAGGAGCGAAAGCCAGGGGAGCAAACGGG
rnacentral:rRNA from 1 species